UACGAAGGGUGCAAGCGUUACUCGGAAUUACUGGGCGUAAAGCGUGCGUAGGUGGUUCGUUAAGUCUGUCGUGAAAGCCCCGGGCUCAACCUGGGAAUGGCGAUGGAUACUGGCGGGCUAGAGUGCGGUAGAGGAGAGUGGAAUUCCCGGUGUAGCAGUGAAAUGCGUAGAGAUCGGGAGGAACAUCAGUUGCGAAGCCGGCUCUCUGGACCAGCACUGACACUGAGGCACGAAAGCGUGGGGAGCAAACAGG
rnacentral:rRNA from 1 species